rnacentral:rRNA from 1 species
UACGUAGGGCGCAAGCGUUGUCCGGAAUUACUGGGCGUAAAGGGUUCGUAGGUGGCCAACUAAGUCAGAUGUGAAAUCCCCGGGCUCAACCCGGGAACUGCAUCUGAAACUGCAGGCCUUGAGUACUGGAGAGGGCGGCGGAAUUCCUGGUGUAGAGGUGAAAUUCGUAGAUAUCAGGAGGAACACCGGUGGCGAAGGCGGCCGCCUGGACAGUCACUGACGCUGAGAUGCGAAAGCGUGGGGAGCAGACAGG